rnacentral:lncRNA from 1 species
GGGGUAGAUGACCAACAGUGUCCACAACAUCUGUACAGAAAUGACCAGAAAGACAAGGCCGUACAUGAGGAAAUCUUUGGGGUUGCUUACUCUAUUCAUGAUUCUGAAGGCAGUGGAUGUUUCAUGGAUAUUUACAGACAUAAAAACAUCAAAUCAUACACUUUAAAUGUGCACGAUGAUUGUAGUCAGCUUUACUUCGAAAAAGCUGCUUUGAAAAGCAUGUCAUACCUUUAGUCAUCAUGUUGUGAAGAGCACAAAAAAAUUAAGCAACUAUCCUUCCAGUUUCCAGAAACUACUAUCUGAUUCUGCAGAGGAGCUCUUUGCGUCGGCGAUGAACGAGCAAAUUUCCCACUUAGGUCUUCAUUGUGUUGUUCUGCUUGUACCCACUACUGUCAACAAAAACGCAAAGUUUACCGCGUUCAUUGGUGGCAACUGGAGAUUGGUUAGAGACGCCAGAGUUUGGCAGAGAUGAGUGAGGAUGUUCUGUGAGCAUUGACAGACUAUGGAAUCCACAGUUGAGCAUCAUACCUUUUACCACAUGAGCAAACUAGGUCAUGAAUCGUGUCACUCAACUUACUCCUAUGACUUGGUCCCUAAAUUCUGCAGCAGGGGGUCGUGAUCAGAUGUCGUUCUUGGCUCCAUCCCCUGGGUGAUGACCAGGAGGCCUCGGGGAGGAGGUGGCCCCAGUGGGCCUGCAAAGACUCGGCCCCUCACAUGGCUGCGGAGAUGGGAAGGGCAGCUGGCCCUGGAGAGACUCCUUGGCCUUGUGACCAUGUCUGCCUUGACAGCACCGGGCCGGCGGGAUCGGAGAGCCUUUGACCCAGCAGCGUCAGGGAAAUGGAUCCACGUUUUUGACCAGAGGCCAGAGGACGGCCAGUCACUGCUUGUCAGAGCUAAGCUGGCUCAUCUACCAGAGUUUCCAUGGCUCAGGAACUCUGGAGCAGUUUACCUGGUUGGGUCUGAGUCGGAUCUCUCAUGAGGUUACAGUCAGGAUGAAGGUAGGCAGCCGUGUUGUGCCGUGAGGCUACAUGCUACAGAAGACAGGGCAAAACCAGAGGCAGCUGGGUCACUGCUACCGCAGCAGCGUGGACUAAGUGCCUUUGUCUUCUGUGUGACAGAGAGUAAAAUCCUAUCCUGUUUAAGC